GUCGACGGUACAGGGUGCUUGCACCGCUGACGAGUGGCGAACGGGUGAGUAAUGCAUCGGAAUGUACCGUGUAAUGGGGGAUAGCUCGGCGAAAGCCGGAUUAAUACCGCAUACGCCCUGAGGGGGAAAGUGGGGGACCGAAAGGCCUCACGUUAUACGAGCAGCCGAUGUCUGAUUAGCUAGUUGGUGAGGUAAAGGCUCACCAAGGCGUCGAUCAGUAGCGGGUCUGAGAGGAUGAUCCGCCACACUGGGACUGAGACACGGCCCAGACUCCUACGGGAGGCAGCAGUGGGGAAUUUUGGACAAUGGGCGCAAGCCUGAUCCAGCCAUGCCGCGUGUCUGAAGAAGGCCUUCGGGUUGUAAAGGACUUUUGUCCGGGAGCAAAUCCUAGUGGUUAAUAACCGCUGGGUCUGAGAGUACCGGAAGAAUAAGCACCGGCUAACUACGUGCCAGCAGCCGCGGUAAUACGUAGGG
rnacentral:rRNA from 1 species